rnacentral:rRNA from 1 species
CAUGCAAGUCGUGGGGCAGUCAGGUUUGUAGCAAUACAGAUGCUGGCGACCGGCAAACGGGUGCGGAACACGUACAGAACCUUCCCUUUGAGCGGGGAAUAGCCCAGAGAAAUUUGGAUUAAUACCCCAUAGUAUAAUGAAGUGGCAUCACUUUAUUAUUAAAGAUUUAUCACUCGAAGAUGGCUGUGCGGCUGAUUAGGUAGUUGGCGGGGUAAAGGCCCACCAAGCCUGCGAUCAGUAACUGGUGUGAGAGCACGACCAGUCACACGGGCACUGAGACACGGGCCCGACUCCUACGGGAGGCAGCAGUAAGGAAUAUUGGUCAAUGGAGGCAACUCUGAACCAGCCAUGCCCGCGUGGAGGAUGAAGGUCCUCUGGAUUGUAAACUUCUUUUAUAUGGGACGAAAAAAGGCUUUUCUAAGUCGUCUGACGGUACCUAUAUGAAUAAGCACCGGCUAACUCCGUG